AAGCUCAUUAUUUGGGUUGGUAUUAACCACAGUAGGAAGAGAAGCAUGGGGGAGGGUUUUUACAGAGGAUGAACAAGUUCUUGAGCUAAGUAUGACUGUACUGCCGAUAAUUGGACUAUGUGAGCUAGCGAAUUGUCCACAAACCACUAGUUGUGGGAUUUUAAGAGGAAGUGCUAGGCCCGGUAUUGGGGCAGGAAUAAACUUGUACUCGUUUUACUUGGUGGGCGCACCAGUGGCCAUAGUCUUAGGCUUU
rnacentral:misc_RNA from 1 species